rnacentral:rRNA from 1 species
GCGCGGCUUAACAUGCAAGGUCGCACGGGCAGCAAUGUCAGUGGCGGACGGGUUGAGUAACGCGUAGGGAAGUGUCCAGAGGUGGGGGACAACCCCGGGAAACUGGGGCUAAUACCGCAUAUGGCCUGAGGGCCAAAGCAGUGAUGCGCCUUUGGAGUUACCUGCGUCCGAUUAGGUAGUUGGUGGGGUAAAGGCCUACCAAGCCGACGAUCGGUAGCUGGUCUGAGAGGACGACCAGCCACACUGGGACUGAGACACGGCCCAGACUCCUACGGGAGGCAGCAGUGGGGAAUAUUGGACAAUGGGCGCAAGCCUGAUCCACCAAUGCCGCGUGGGUGAA